AGCAUCUGUUGUCCAGCCCAGUGAAACAGCAUCCAUGAUCUCUCCUCCAGCUUCUUCAGUGCGGAAGCCGCGCUACGUCCGCCGCGAGCGCUCCCUGGGCCCGCCCGGCCCCGCCGACAGCCGGGUCAGCAACGUGUGACCCCAGCCCUGGAGCGCCCCUGCCCCUCUUCCUGAGCCCAGGAAAUCCCUGGGAGCUGCUGAUCCCGCAGGAAUCCCAAAGGGUUUGUGCCAAAUCUCACCCCCGGCGAGAUCGGGGACUUUGGAGGGUCCUGGUGCUGCUCCGGGGGUUCCUGCCGGAGGAUGGGGGAAUUCCUCAGGGAUUCGGGGCAUUUGUGGUGUUGGGGGAGAAUUCCUGAGGGAUUUGUGGGAUUUUUCCUGUUUGGGGAGAAUUCCGGAGGGAUUUGUGGGAUCUUUCCUGUUUGGGGAGAAUUCCGGAGGGAUUUGAGGACUUGUGGAGAGAAUCCUUAAGGAAUUUGGGGGAAUUUUCCCUGCUUGGAGAGAAUCCUUAAGGAAUUUGGGGGAUUUUCCCUGUUUGGACAGAAUCCUUUGGGAAUUUGGGGGAUUUGCCCUGCUUGGAGAGAAUCCUUAAGGAAUUUGGGGGAUUUUCCCUGCUUGGAGAGAAUCCUUUGGGAAUUUGGGGACUUUGCUUGGGAUGUGACCCCAAAACUGGAGCAGGGAUUUGGGAUGUGGAUCCAUUCUGGGCCGGGCAAAGGGAUCCUCUCAAGUGCCCCUGCUUUAACCUGGGACAGCAAUUAAUUAUGCUAAUUAAUUAUGCUAACUAACCAUGCUAAUUAAUUAUGACAGUAAUUAAGAUGCAGAAUCCUUUGGAAGCAAAUCCCAGAUCCCACUGGGAGCAUUUUCCCGCUCUCCUGGUGCUCUAUCCAGGCCUGAUCCCAAAUCUUGGGAUUUUUUUGGGAAUUUUUCCAGCUCAAUCCUUGGAUUAAGUGUUCUCCAAGGGAUAAUCCAUUCCUGGUGGAAUUGGGAAUUCCUGCUUUUGGGGCACUCGGGGAUUUUUGGGAUGAGCCACAGGGAUCGGGACAACUCCUGCCAGUGGAAAAAUGGGAUUUUUGGUGUGGGAAAUCCCUGGAAUUUGAGCUCCAGAGGCAUUCCCAAAUUCCAAGCACCAGCCUCAGCUUCUCCCACAGAUCUCAAUCCUGCCUGAGGAAUUUUGGGAAGUUCAAAGAGCUGGAAAAUGAUUUUUUUUCCUGGCUGGGUCUCCCUCCUGCAGCUUUUCCAUCCAAACUGAGGGUCCUAAAUCCAUGGAAAAGUCCUAAAUCCAUCCCAAAUCCAUGGAAAAGUCUCUGUCGCCCCUGGAAUUCCAGCUUUUCUUCCUGGAUCUGGAAUCCAUCCUAAAUCCACCCCAAAUCCCUGCAAUUUCUCUGUCACCCACUGGAAUUCCAAUUCUUUUCCUCCUGGGUCUGGAAUCCAUCCGAAAUCCAUCCUAAAACCCUGGAAUUUUACUGUCACCCCCUGGAAUUCCACGUUUUCCUCCUGGAUCUGGAAUCCAUCCUAAAUCCAUCCCAAAUCCCUGGAAUUUCUCUCACCCCCUGGAAUUCCAGCUCUGAGCAUUCCCAGCGCUGCUCCCAGCAGAAAUCCUUUGGCAUUCCCUGCCAGGGAUGGGAAUGGGAGCUUUGGUUCUCCCCUUUUUUCCCAAAUUUUUUUAUGGGAAAACGAGAACAAAACUCUUGGAUCUGCCUCCCACCUGGAGAAUUUCCUUUUCCCUGGGGGUCAAACCUUCCAAGAGGAGAAUUUGGGAUGGGAAGAAAUCCAUUUUUCCCAUGGAAUAAUCCCAUUUUUUCUGGGAAUUUUGGGGCAGCUGGAUUUGCUUUUAUCUCCUUAAAAACCAACGAGAUUUUGGUGGAAUUUUCAGGGAUAAAACCCAAAUCAUGGAGAGGCUCCUGUGCCAAAAUAUUCCAAAAUUUUCCUGUUUAUUAUGAUAGAUAAAAUUCUUUUCCUCCUGGCCAAGGAAUUCCAGUUGAAAUUCCCAAUUUUUUUGGAGGAUUUGGGAGAUUCCAACUUGGAAUUUUGAUCAUUUCCAUUAUCUUUUGUGCUGCUGAGAUUUUUUUUUUCCCCUUCCCAAGUAGGAAGGUUUUAUCCUGGAAUUCAGAAUUUCUGAGGAUUUUCUGAAUUCCAAAGGGGGGGAAAAAAAGGAGGAACUAUGCAAAUAAUUCCAAGGAAUUGCAGCUCUGGAGCUGGGAAUUCCUGUGUGUUCAUUCCUGUCCUGCUUAAUUGCUAAAAUUUUAAUUUAUUGAAGGAUCAGCUCCUUUUUCUGUCUCUUCUCGUGUGGGAUUUGCUUUAAUUGUUGUCUGAAAAUGGGAUUUGUGACAUUAAAAAUGGGAUUUGUGUCAUCAAAAACCUAAAAA